rnacentral:rRNA from 1 species
CCCUACGGGGGGCAGCAGUGAGGAAUAUUGGUCAAUGGGCGGUAGCCUGAACCAGCCAAGUAGCGUGAAGGAUGAAGGCUCUAUGGAUUGUAAACUUCUUUUAUAAAGGAAUAAAGUGAGGCACGUGUGCCUUUUUGUAUGUACUUUAUGAAUAAGGAUCGGCUAACUCCGUGCCAGCAGCCGCGGUAAUACGGAGGAUCCGAGCGUUAUCCGGAUUUAUUGGGUUUAAAGGGAGCGUAGGUGGGUUGUUAAGUCAGUUGUGAAAGUUUGCGGCUGAACCGUAA